UUGAAAAUUUAGAUGAAAUGAAUUGUUACUGAAUUUUCUGCCACCUAGAAUGGGAUCGAAAGCGGGAUCAGGAUUUUGCUGCAGGGGCCGAUUUUAUAAGCAGUUGAUAUUUCGGCAAGAGGGUGGUUAAUGCGAUUUUUAAAAAUCCGAUUGUGUGCUUUGGGACGUGUGGGCCAGCUUGUGGAACAUUAGACGGAGAUCGGCGACAGCCUUCCUCCAGAAUCAGCGCUGUUUUGUUUUCGCGGUGGCUUCGGGAGGAAUUGGGUGCCGAAGCAAAGCUGAGCCCCGACAGACCGAGACGGGGGGAGGCGGAGCUGGGCGUUCAUUUGCGGCGACCUCCGGGCGUGAUGGCGCUGGCUCCGCCGCGGGUACGGGGAGCCUAAAGUGCAGGCCCCUGUAUAAAGGAGACCUGCGGCCUGACGCUCGGCCUGAGUCUCCAAGACCUUGUAUGAUAGACACUCACUCCUGGUUCCUUCUUCCAGACAAUAAAAGCCGAUAUCUCGCCUUACGUCUCAGUCUAAGAGCAGAUGUUGUCCCAAUGACUGCAG